CCUGAGAGAUAAGAUACUUUCCAGCCAUCAGAGAACAUCCCGUCCCGAAACGUCUCCCUCAUAUCUCCCUCUCACUAGACCUCUGACGGCCGAAACAUGAGAUAGCGCAUCAUCUGCCCUCAGGAAGGAGACUUUGCCAUUCAGUGGAGUGGGCCCCAUCCCCAGCCCUGGCCCUGGAUCCAACCAAUCACUCACCAGCAUGGCACGGGCCUGCCCGUUAGCAGCAGGCCAACAUUGUUUACAAUGAGUUUUGUGUUUUGUGCAGAGCUCAUAUCCGGGAGGUGCAGGUGCUAGAGGAGGCUCCAGCCCAACAGAAGAAGCAGGAGGAGGAGGAGGAGGAGGAGGAAGAAGAAGAGGAGGAGGAGGCUGAAAGUGGUGAACGCUGGUGGAGAAAACAGUUACUCUGUCUUCCUUAAACAUCUUCAAGGUCUCUGGAGAGGAAUAAAUUCCCAAGAGAGACAGUUUCCUGCAAGGAGAUGGCCCCAGCGAUGGAACAGUUCUUCCCGAGUUCACCUGGCACCGUGCCCUCAUGCUCGCUGUUCCUUUUUCCUAUGCAUAUAACUCUUUGAGAAGUAGCAUUAAAGAGGCAUAGGGCAUGGGAAAAUGGGGCUGCAGAGGUAUUCCACUGAAGCUUUCCCACACCACCACAUCCACCACCAACGCCGCCGCCUCUCCAACAAAGCAGCGGCUGUAUAAACUGUGUUUACACGUCUCCAGUGCUUUCAUGCUCUGCCACUCUUCCCAAAGGAUUAAACACUAUUAGAUGCAGUUUAUUACUGUUAUCAGUUUAAUUGGUUUAGUUUGUAAUAUGGAUGGAUUUUUCUGAGAGUAAGCUGUGAUGGUGUGAUCUUGUGAAGUGAAGAGUGAAUUGAAAUGUGAAUCUAAACUGUGUAAUCUACUGUCUGCUGUGAUUUAAUAAAGACACUGACUGAACUGAAAACA